UACGGGUUGGCCGGCGGCCCGCCGAGUGC
rnacentral:sRNA from 1 species